rnacentral:tRNA from 1 species
UCCCAUAUUGUCUAGUGGUUUGGAUACCUGGCUCUCACCCAGGAGACCCGGGUUCAAUUCCCGGUAUGGGAA